UCUUCUUAACUUCUCCGGUGCAAGAUUGUGUUGCUCAUGCAACUACAUUUUAGCUUGUCUAUUUAAAGGCAUACUAUGCAGGAUUUUUUAGCCUGCUUUUAGCAUCGAAGAAGUCUCAUCCUUAAACUCCACUCAACCCCAAGUACCCAACCGAGUCACUAGACACGCUAAUUCAUUAGACGCUACCAGAAAAUUUCUCCCAUCAUGUACUCGGACUGACAGUACGUUGUCUGCCAUCGAGACCAAAUAAUUUGAAAACAAGGCAUUCUGGUGUGAAAAACUGACAUCUGACAAUCCUAGCUGGAUAACUAAUGUUACUGACAGGUCCAACAGAAAACGAGCCAAUACCGCAUCACUUUUCAUCGCCUUGGUGAACUUCAGCUGCCACUGAGGACAAGCUGUUCUUAGGUUAACUCUUUAUUGAGCGAGACCUGUCAGCUUGUCUUUUUGCCUCACUAUAUCUGGGCCAUUGCUGUGGCUAUCGAGAUAGCAACAAACCACAAAUCCGAGCAGAAAUUUCCUGAACACAUUUUAGAAUGACAAAUACAGGUAAACGUGAAUUUGGCAAAAGUGCGUAAAGACAGAGAUUGCUGGUGCAUCAUAGAUAUGCCUUAUAGCAUGGUUAUUUUACAUUAUUGUCAAGGGAAAAAUCCUUAAUUGUAUGCCAAGUGCAAGAGUGUGUAUGAAUGUCCCACACUUUUGAUAGUGUGAAUAAUUUAUUUAUAAUGGCACCUGUGCAUGCUGCCAUUCAGUAUUCUUUUUAUGCAUUCUCCAGUCAGUAGCAGCUGAAGAUCAUAUUGCAUCCCUAAACCUGAAGGACAAUAUACCCAGCGGUCAGCAAGUGUCUGUGCAUUGCCUCCCAGGGGCAAAUGUUUCAAUUUAUUUCUCUUUGGCAUCUCCUGGAUCUGUUAUGUUUAUGAAAAAUGUGCAGGCAUGACCAUGAACCCAUUGUUGCUGGGGGGGGGGUUUGGCAGGUAUAUAUCACAGAGCAGGGUGAGGGACCGCUAGGCCUGGAUAUUUUACAGUAGUGAACAGUAGACACUGUUUUGACUUGUACAAGUUAGCCUAUUGUAUUGGAAAAGUAAGUCAAAGAAAACAGACAUCUGAUGAAAAAUACGUUUACAACGUCUAGGCCUGACAUUAAAAGUAUUGAUAUCAAAAUUAUGCCGAGUUACAUGAAACACUAACUGGCUACCAUCAUACAAAUUAAACAAGCUAUAUUCCAAAGCAGUGCUACCCAGUGUUUCCUAAAUUGUUUCAACUUGACCCUGUGUUUUUUUUAGGGGUCCAUGCAGCGAGGCUGGUGGAACCCUAUUGUAUCUGUUAUGAUUAUUAUUAUUUGUAUUUGUAUUUUUUCCAUAGACUGCGUUGUUGCCGUUCUUGUUGUUAGUGUUAAUCAGUUUAACCUUCAGGGUCCAAGUUGAACUAUGCGGUUGUUCCCUGCACUUGGACCGGUACUUCUCUCUAGGGGUUUCGUCAUACUUGUUCCUGGUUAUGGUUAUACACUUUGUUGUACGUCGCUCUGGAUAAGAGCGUCUGCCAAAUGCCUGUAAUGUAAUGUAAUGUAUUAUUAUUAUUAUAUAUAUAUAUUUUUUUUUGUUCCCUCCGCUAUAAGUGUCUGAGGCUCAGCAACCGUAAGUCCUAGAGCAACCAAAUUUGGUAGGUGGGUUCCUAUGGCCCCCCCACUACUCAGGCACUAAAAAUCACCUAUGUCGGCCAGAUGGUGGUGCUAUAACAAAGGGUCUUACUUUAAAACUCCCACACCAUAAGUCAGAUCAACACAAAACUUCAUCGACCAAUGCAUCUGAAUGUGCUCUACAACUUUGCUAUUGGGACCACCUAUGUCCGCCAUAUUGUUUGCCCGCCAUUUGGACUUUUUUAGUAGUUGCGGUGCGGAAGAGCUGUAGCUCCACAUCUAAAGUGUUACGACAUCUAGUAAACUCCUUUACGGCAAGCGGCUAGAAGACAUCCAUGGCGACGCAACUAAGUAAUUCGACACCGUCGGGUCUAGUUUUUAUCAGUGAGGGGAGGGUCUGAACUUCAUAAUGGACAAUAUUAUCUAUCUGGGCAUUCAUAAAAAUAUUCACCACUCAAAAAUCGUAUUCCGUCAUAGCAACAUGAUAAACACGACAGUAGCCCUAAAAUAUGCCAAUAUGGCAGUGAAAAUGCUGCUCACCGAGUAACAAAAUAAACGAGACAAGGUUUAAAAAAAAUGAUGCCAUGUCAUUCUACAGUCAAUAUCUGGGACAAAAUAUUGAAUAAAUAUACAACCUUACCGUUGGUUUUACGCGUAGAGAAGUCCCUUUUGAGACUCAGUGGUCAUAUAUUGUCUUGGACAAUCCGUUUGUGAAAUAUAUGCGCAUCUGUGAUACCUGGGUACCUUCAAAAAUAGCUGUGCGUAAUACCACACCUGUUGUUUACGGCGUUGUCACCCUUUUUAGUACAAUUCAUUUAUUCAGUAGGUGAGAGUAUAAGCUUUCUAACGAUGUAUAACAUGUCUGAUUUUGCUUUUUGAAUAGCGUUUUAUCGGUCAGCGUAACCAAAAAUUUUCUUAUCACAUUCACUUACGCAUUCACUCUGGGGUAGCAGUAAAAGACGCUGCACCUAACAAAACGUUGUCAACGAUUUUUCAUAAUUUCUUGGAAAAUACUAUAAUUAUUGAGGACUUCUGGGCAUAGCUAAGCCAUAUGUUUGCCAAUAGACCUAUCUGACAUCGUUUUCUGGAGCAAAACAGAAGCGGAUAGGACUGCUGCAGGCUAUAGUUGAUUUACUGUCUCUGUCUCUAUCUACUGAACACAGAUAAAAUUUCAUCAUUGCUAUGUAAGUAUUACUGCUCAAUAUUUCGGUUCGUUCCGUUGCUACCAUAAUAUAACUAACUUUCUUGCAUCUACAGCUGCAGUUUCUCGCUGCAAUUACUAAUAUUGAAUAUAAACAAAGAACGCAAUUUAUGCUGUAGUCUGCGAAUGUCUAAAUAAAUAAUAUGGUACUCUGCGGGCAGCACGCAGGUAGCAGGAAUGGCGAGUUGAUAUUUCGUUUUUUGUCGUAUUUAUUAUUUGAAAUAUGUAUUAUUCUAUCUGUCUCUAUUCUAUCUGAGGCACUCUGAAAUGUGCAUUCUCUGAGCAAUGGAUUGGAAUAUGUGUCUGACGUAGUGUUGCACGGUAUACCGAAACUUCAGCACCUUUUCGGUACUUAAAAAAAAAAAAAACAGUUCGGUAUUAAAAUUUUCCGACGUUCAGUACUUUUAGGUCAAAUGUAAAUGUUAGGAAAUGUAUCUCCCCCAUUACUGAUUGAGAGGAUGAAAGGUGUAAUUUGUCAGAAUCUUCGCUAGAUGGCAGUAACAACUUUAGUGGCCAAGUCAGUUGAUGUGCGCUUGUGCAUUCAACCCAUUCAAGCUCGUUGAUACAGGGCACGCUUCGACUCAGUUCACUUCAGUAGCGAUAGGUGUUCUAAUUUGGAAAUAUUUUAUUAUAGGAAGAUGCUGUGUUGUUAUUAAAAUAUGCUAUCUUUAGAUCUAUUUAAAAGUGAAAGACCUGUUUAAAGAUUAUUUAGUUUACAAUUGUUUAAUUUUUGAAAUAUAUUUAAUAUAUUUUUCUAUUGUUUAGUGUUGUAACACUAUAGGCCUAUGCUUAUUAAUAUGUUGAACAGGCUUCAACUUAAAGGUUGUUAAUAAACCAGGUUGUUAGUAAACCAUGAAUUUGAAAAUGAGGUCAACCCUUGUGGACAUUACGUUUCUGAUCUAUUAAGGUAAUUUCAGUAUUGUUAGGUACCGAGUAUCAAAUCAGUAUCGUUUUAGUAUCGAGUAUCGUGAUACUAAAAUUUAGAUCAAAGUCAAAAUUUUGGUAUUGUGACAACACUAGUCUGAUGCCUUUUUUUGUUGCUGCACGGAAGCGCUGCAGCUGCAGAUACACUCUGGGCCAUCUAAGUGUUACGACAGUAAAGGCCUUUGCGGCAAGCGACCAGGACACAUCCUCAUCAGUAUUUUAUACAAUCAUCAUGAUAUUCAGUAGAUAUGUUGGGUGAAGGUAUAUGAUCAUGAGGACAAAACCAUUUUAAAAUCUCUCCAUAGGGGGCGCAGUAGUGCAAAUGCUUGGACCCCUCCCAACGCCGCUUGUGGCUUUAAUUUAAUCUUGCCAUCUGAAGACAAUGUCGAUGAAGACUGUCUCGCAUCAAAGUGUCUAAUAACAAAAAUUGCCUCAUGCCAGACGUGUAAAUGAGUAUAUGAAACUGCUGGUCAAUACCUAAAGAAAGAAUAUUGAUCGUCAAGUUCAUUUAACAAAAUCUACACGUUCUUGUAUAUUUGCAACUUAAAGUAAAUACUGUUUGAAAAAUAAAUACUGUGCAUACAUACAUGCAUACAUACAGUCAGUGCCUUCGGAAAGUAUUCAGACCCCUUCACUUUUUUCACAUUUUCUUAUGUUACAGCCUUAUUCUAAAAUUGAUUAAAAUUUAUAUUUAUUCUCAUCAAUCUACACACAGUACCCCCAUAAUGAAAAUGAUAAAGCGAAAACAAGGUUUUUAGAAAUUUUGGAUAAUUUUUAAAAAAUAAAAAAACGGAAAAAUCACUUUUGCACAAGUAUUUUUACCCUUUACUCAGUACUUUGUUGAGGCACCUUUGGCAGGGAUUACUGCCUUGAGUCUUCUUGGGUAUGACUACAAGCUUGGCACACCUGUAUAAAGGAUAUUUCUCCCGUUCUUAAAUGGAAUAAGUUCAGAUUCACCAGGCCUCUUCCUAGAGCUGGCUGCCCGGCCAAACUGAGCAAUCAGGGGAGAAGGGCCUUGGUCAGGGAGGUGACCAAGAACCUGAUGGCCACUCUGACAGAGCUCCAGAGUUUCUCUGUGGAGAUGGGCGAACCUUCCAGAAGGAAAACCAUCUCUGCAGCACUCUACCAAUCAGGCCUUUAUGGUAAAGUGGCCAGACCGAAGCCUCUCCUCAGUAAAAGGCACAUAACACCCUGCUUGGAGUUUGCCAAAAGGCACCUAAAGGACUCUGACCAUGAAUAACAAGAUUAUCUGAUGAAACCAAGAUUGAAUUCUUUGGCCACAAUGCCAAGCGUCACGUCUGGAGGAAACCAGGCACCGCUCAUCACCUGGCCAAUACUGUCCUUACGGUGUGUAAAAUCUAUGAGUGGACAUGCAGAACUACUAAUGAUCUAUGAAGCAAAAAGUAAGCAGUGUACCCAGUGUCUCCAAAUCUAUCCAAAAUGUCUAAAUUAUGCAUUUCAGUAAAUCACAACAUAAUCAUCUAUUUCACUACAAAUCAACUGUUUUGACUCAAGAAACUCACGUUUGCAUCAUUUGCAAGUGGGAAUUACAAGAUGAGACUGCUGGGAGGGGGUGCUUGGUAAAUGCACAACCAGCGCGACAAUGGUGACGAUGCGGAACUCCGUAUUCGGCAUAGUUGUCCUGAAUCCUCUACUAAUAAAUCUAGCACACCGAGUUUGUUUUUUCAACGUUGCAGGAGCACAGAAUGUCUGAAUUGAGCAGUCUAGGCACAACGGCAUGCCGACCACUAGAGGCAGUGCACGAAGUGCGUAACCCUCAUUUUCUGUAGACUUUUUUUGUAUGUAAUGUCCCAGAAUUCAGGGAAUGUAUGGUAUUAAGGUGGUAUGAAAAUGCAAAAGCUUAACUGCCACCCUCCCUCCAUAACCACCCUGCUGUAGCCUGUGUACCCGUUUCGCAGACAUGAGGGCCAGAGAAAAAAUUAAUAAAUUCUAAGGAGAACCAUGGAAACUGAAGCUGGCUAUGCUCGGUUGCUUUUCUCUGGAGUUGAAGUUUCGAGAGCACUCUUCUCCACAUUUCCGGCCAGCCAGUGGUGCGCAUGAACUAUCCAUCUAGAUAUAGGAGGACCGUGAUAUUGGCAAAAUUUGCAUUCACAUGAGUGAUGAGCCAUAUGUCUCUGAUGCAGGCAGCUCAAAUGAGUAUUUGAAUAUAUGUUGCAAAAUGGUACAUUAAAUUUAUUGUCAAUCAUUUUUGGAAGAAAAUGUUUUUUGACACCUUGAACUGUUUUUUGAUAUUCAACUUUGUGCUUAAAGCCGUAUUAAUCACAAGUAUGCUGCGUUGCACCAGAGUCAUUGCGAAUAUUUAUUUUAUUUAUUUAUCUUUUUUAAAUAAAUCUUCCAUCCCUGAUACAUAUAUAUUUU